rnacentral:rRNA from 1 species
ACUCGAGUGGCGAACGGGUGAGUAACACGUGGGUGAUCUGCCCUGCACCUCGGGAUAAGCCUGGGAAACUGGGUCUAAUACCGGAUAGGAGCCAUUUUUAGUGUGAUGGUUGGAAAGUUUUUCGGUGUAGGAUGAGCUCGCGGCCUAUCAGCUUGUUGGUGGGGUAAUGGCCUACCAAGGCGGCGACGGGUAGCCGGCCUGAGAGGGUGGACGGCCACAUUGGGACUGAGAUACGGCCCAG